rnacentral:rRNA from 1 species
CCUACGGGAGGCAGCAGUAAGGAAUCUUCCACAAUGGACGAAAGUCUGAUGGAGCAACGCCGCGUGCAGGAUGAAGGCUUUCGGGUCGUAAACUGCUUUUAUAUGGGAAGAUUAUGACGGUACCAUAUGAAUAAGGACCGGCUAACUACGUGCCAGCAGCCGCGGUAAUACGUAGGGUCCAAGCGAUAUCCGGAAUUACUGGGCGUAAAGCGUGUGUAGGUGGAUUAAUAAGUGUGAUGCGAAAUCCGGCGGCUCAACCGUUUGGACUGUGUCGCAUACUGUUAGUCUAGAGGACGGCAGAGGUAAGUGGAAUUACGGGUGUAGCAGUGAAAUGCGUAGAUAUCCGUAGGAACACCAAUGGCGAAGGCAGCUUACUGGGCCACACCUGACACUGAGACACGAAAGCGUGGGGAGCGAACAGGAUUAGAUACCCUGGUAGUCCACGCCGUAAACGAUGCAUACUAUUAGUAUGGGGUAUCGACCCCCUGUGCUGAGAAGCUAACGCGAUAAGUAUGCCGCCGUGGGAGGUACGGGCGGCGAGACUUAAACUACAAUAGAAGUAGACGGCGNGAACGUAGCCGACGGACGACGACGAGGGAGGUAGG